CCUACGGGUGGCAGCAGUGGGGAAUAUUGCUCAAUGGGGGAAACCCUGAUGCAGCGACGCCGCGUGAAGGACGAAGUAUUUCGGUACGUAAACUUCUAUCAGCAGGGAAGAAAAUGACGGUACCUGACCAAGAAGCCCCGGCUAACUACGUUCCAGCAGCCGCGGUAAUACGUAGGGAGCAAGCGUUAUCCGGAUUUACUGGGUUGAAAGGGAGCGUAGACGGCCAGGCAAGUCUGAUGUGAAAACCCGGGGCUCAACCGCGGGACUGCAUUGGAAACUGUGCGGCUGGAGUGCCGGAGAGGCAAGUGGAAUUCGUAGUGUAGCGGUGAAAUGCGUAGAUAUUACGAGGAACACCAGUGGCGAAGGCGGCUUGCUGGACGACGACUGACGUUGAGGCUCGAAAGUGUGGGGAGCAAACAGGAUUAGAUACCCUAGUAGUC
rnacentral:rRNA from 1 species